GGGCCAAGCAUGAUACUGCUGCUAUUUUCUUGCCCACCUCUUCUUUUAAAGCUAGAGACCUUGCAAAUAACUCUCAAGCAUCAUCUACUUAUGGUCCAAAUGGAGCUCCUUCUUCUAUUCCUAUUACUAGCUCUAUUGCUGACUUCUAUUCCCCUGAUUCACAACCUUCUACCUUGCUUUCUCAUGCCCAAAUAUUUGAUCAGUUGUAGAUGGCAUUAGAUAC
rnacentral:lncRNA from 1 species